GCCUCCUUCUCCUGGUGUCCAUUUCUGGAACUGCUAUUUGUAUAUUGCAUGAUAUUUUAUCAGGAAAAAAAAUAAAACAGAUCUAAUUUCAUGAAAAUGCUGUUGCCAUAAUGCUCAGGAGAACAGGGGGAAGAGAGAGAUUCAAGUCUUCCUAAUGUCUACCUUAUAUGCAGAGCCUUGGAAAGAUGGGCAAAUGCUCUGUGACAAGCCACCAGGGUAGACUGGUACUGAAAAGACCCUACUACACACAGGGGCUCUGUCCCUGGCUGGAAAGUUACAAGUCAGCCUACCUCUCUGUGAUCUGGUUUCCACACCUACUACUCCUUAUCCCAUGAGGAGCUUCUGGAAACUAAAAAAGGUACUUCGAAUUUCAUUGUUGCAUCGAGCCAGCUGAUUUGGGAGUUGAGUUCCUGGAUAGGCAUACUAUCCACAGUGUUUUACCAGAGUGAAAUCACAGGAUAGGCUCAGCUGUAACAAACUAUAUCAAAUCUCAGAGGCUUCAAAAGACUAAGGUUUAUUUCUCACUCAUGCCACACGUCUACUGAGGGUCAUGCGGGGUUCUGCUGAGUGAUGUUCUCCAUCCAGGAUCCCAGCCAGGAUCCCAGCUGGUAGAGCAGCCUCCACCUGGAACAUUGCCUAAGAUAUUGGAAGGGCACACCAGGGCAAUGGUGAAGCUCAAAGUGGCUCCUAAUGGCUGGCCAGAAUCAGCCCUCGUAUCUCCUUGGCCAAAGCAAGUCUCUAGGACCACAGCUAAUUCCCAGCAGGUGAAGAUGUGAUUUCUUCCAUCCAGAAAGACAGAAAGCCAGAACAUCUUGAACAGCUCUGGUGACUAUCAUAUCCUUUUCUUCUAAGCCAAAUAUGAGAUUCUUUUAUAGCAGCUAUGACAUUCAAGGAGCUCUUACAGAUGUCCCCAAUACUGUCACAGUGGAGUUUAUCUUACAGAAUUGGGCCACUCUAAGUGACUACCUGUUGCCUCAAAGGGUAACAGGUCUAACAGAAAGAACUGUACUCCAGAAUUGUAAGUCUUCUAGAUUCUGCUACUGGAAGAGUAAGUGGAUAAGAAUAGCCAAGAACAUGGGAAAGAAGAAUUUGUGGAAGUUAAUUUGUAAUGAGGACAAUCAUAAAUUCUUCCUGAGUUAGGUCUCCUUAUCUGCAAGGUUCCCAUCUGCCAAGGGGACAAGAUAUAACAUGGGAAUCCCAAUGGAUGCAGAAGGGAAGUAGAGGUAAAUUUGCCUCUUCUAGCCACACAAUAUCUGGUAGAAGAAACGGAGAAAAAGGCAGGGGCAGACAACCAGAGGGAGGGGUAGUGAUUCUGGGGAAAACAGAAGGCAGAGUAUAUUCAUUACAAUUUAAUAAAACUAUGGGAGGUGACCCUCUUGAAGGCUGCCUCCACACCCACCAGUCAAGGCUCCAUCAAUGUAAACUAGCAAUCCAACAUGGUAGUGCCCAGAGAGCCAAGAUUAUUUAUCAUGUUAUGGACAGAUUGGCAUAGGCCCUGAGGGGUACUCAAAGGCCAGUGGGACUGCUGCAAGGCCCUUGUGUUGGGGUGGUGUCCAGCAUAGCAGACUCCUCUAGGUUGAUAUUCUGGGCCAGAGGGGACAGCUGGACAAUGUCACAUUGGUUCUGACACGUGCAUGGCACUUGCAUGAGCCAGACUGGGGCUAAGUCAGCCAGGCAGGCUGUCAGGCCCUAAUCACAUCAAGGAUGGCCAAAUCAUGUUCCACUAGGGACCAGCUUGAGCUGCAAAUGACCAAUAGGACAAAUGAUGUCAUCCAGAGGACCCAACCACCCAGAUCUGAGACACAGUAAGCCUCCUUCAUCCACCCAGACAUACGUUAGGAAACUGAAAGAGGAAGACAGGAGCCUCCAAAGAUUGGGUUUUUGUGUAGAAGGAACUGAAUAAUUUAAAGAAUGUUCAGUUUAUGAGGUCAGACUGAGAUGAAUGAAUGGAGAUAAGGUGUCACGAGGAAGAUCAGCUCACUGAGAGCAGUAGUUCUCAACCCUGGCUGUACAUUGCACAUUAGAAAUGCCCAGCGCUUUCAGAAAAUACUCCCCCCCACCUCUAACCACAACUAUUAUGUUGCAAUUGCUGGUGGUGGGCUUAGAUCUGGGCGUAGGUGCAUAUGUAUGCAAAGACACAUAUGUACGUAAUUUCUCCAAUGUUUAUAAUGUACAAAUAUGAAUUAUCUAAUAGAAAUAAACAGUGUCACUAAAGGGCAUGCCCUGGCAGAUCCUCAGGGCUGGUGGAAUUGGCUCCAGAACUUUUGCUCUUGGCUCCCAUUCCCCACUGGGAGAAGCCUGAUACCUGACUCCCUGAACCUGGCCUUUGGCUUCAGACUCUGAAGUCAAAUCCCUUCCUUCUCCCUCUGGCUCAGUCUCCAUCGACUCAACUAGUCCUGCCACCUCUUUUCUGCUUGGCCCAGCCCUAGCACCCUACUCACUGGUGUAGCCAUUAUAGGCAGCUCAAUGUAGACCAGUCAGCGUUUUGGCUGGAAAAUAGACAGAUGUAGCUGAAAGAAGCUGAUGGAUCUUUCUCAGGACUGGCAGUUACCCGCCAUGAGGAUGAAGGCCACAUGGGGUAUAGUCAAGGGGUGAGCACACGUCCAGUGAACUGGCUGAUUCCUGCUGUGGCAGGUGCAACCUGCAGGCCCACGGAUGUCAGAUCUUCUACAGAAGGGAAGCCAGAAUUCUAGACUUUUAUCUGAAAUUUACCAAUAUUUAAAUACCAGUAAGGAAUUCAUUUUUUAUUACCUUGUAUGUGCCAAAUGAAAAAUAAACCUAUUUAUGAGUUAGUCCCAGCCCCAGGCUCCGGCCUUGGCCUCUGGAAAGCCUCUGAAACAGUAGGGAUUGCGGGAAGAAGGGUGUGUGGAGGCCAAGGAUCUGCUGCGCCUUUCCAGUCAGGUGGGUCACAAUGAGAUGGUUAAGUGUUUGAGCAGACUGUGACCACACUAAAAGUGAUGCUUCCCCUGGGGCAGUUUUACAAUAAAGAUAAUAAAAACCAACAAAAAAACAA
rnacentral:antisense_RNA from 1 species